GAGAGUGGAAUUCCACGUGUAGCGGUGAAAUGCGUAGAGAUGUGGAGGAACACCAGUGGCGAAGGCGACUCUCUGGUCUGUAACUGACGCUGAGGAGCGAAAGCGUGGGGAGCGAACAGGAUUAGAUACCCUGGUAGUCCACGCCGUAAACGAUGAGUGCUAAGUGUUAGGGGGUUUCCGCCCCUUAGUGCUGCAGCUAACGCAUUAAGCACUCCGCCUGGGGAGUACGGUCGCAAGACUGAAACUCAAAGGAAUUGACGGGGGCCCGCACAAGCGGUGGAGCAUGUGGUUUAAUUUGAAGCAACGCGAAGAACCUUACCAGGUCUUGACAUCCUCUGACAACCCUAGAGAUAGGGCUUUCCCUUCGGGGACAGAGUGACAGGUGGUGCAUGGUUGUCGUCAGCUCGUGUCGUGAGAUGUUGGGUUAAGUCCCGCAACGAGCGCAACCCUUGAUCUUAGUUGCCAGCAUUUAGUUGGGCACUCUAAGGUGACUGCCGGUGACAAACCGGAGGAAGGUGGGGAUGACGUCAAAUCAUCAUGCCCCUUAUGACCUGGGCUACACACGUGCUACAAUGGACAGAACAAAGGGCUGCGAGACCGCAAGGUUUAGCCAAUCCCACAAAUCUGUUCUCAGUUCGGAUCGCAGUCUGCAACUCGACUGCGUGAAGCUGGAAUCGCUAGUAAUCGCGGAUCAGCAUGCCGCGGUGAAUACGUUCCCGGGCCUUGUACACACCGCCCGU
rnacentral:rRNA from 1 species